rnacentral:rRNA from 1 species
GACGAACGCUGGCGGCGUGCUUAAUACAUGCAAGUCGAACGGAGUUAAGGGUUUCGGCCUUUAACUUAGUGGCGAACGGGUGAGUAACGCGUGAAUAACCUGACUCAAAGAGGGGGAUAACAACGGGAAACUGUUGCUAAUACCGCAUGAGACCACAACACCGCAUGAUGAAGGGGUCAAAGAUUUAUCGCUUUGAGAGGGGUUCGCGUCCCAUUAGGUAGUUGGAGGGGUAACGGCCCACCAAGCCAACGAUGGGUAGCCGAGCUGAGAGGCUGAUCGGCCACACUGGAACUGAGACACGGUCCAGACUCCUACGGGAGGCAGCAGUAGGGAAUAUUGGGCAAUGGGCGCAAGCCUGACCCAGCAACGCCGCGUGAGGGAAGAAGGUUUUCGGAUUGUAAACCUCUGCCUAUGUGACGAAGGAAGUGACGGUAGCAUAGGAGGAAGACCCCGGGCUAACUACGUGCCAGCAG